UCAACGUAAUCGCUGCACCUGCUAUCUUUGCAGCUGCCUUGGAAUCUUCCCAGGCGAGCCGACUCUUUCGUCAAGCGGCGGCUGCUGCUGUUGCUGCAGAAAAGGAACGUCGGUGACUACGCACGCAAUCUACCAGCACUACAUCUGCCAGGGGAAGCAAGCUUACAGCCGGCGAUUCUCCAGAACUACGGUCUCUUGGUACAGUGGAGGCAGCACGGAUAAUCAACUUAAUCGCUGCACCUGCUAUCUUUGCAGCUGCAUUGGAACCUUCCCUGGCGAGGCGACUGCUUCGUCAAACGGCGGCUGCUGCUGUUGCUGCAGGAAAGAAACGUCUGUAAGAGCGCAUGCAAUUAGCGGCAUUACAUCUGACAGGGGAAGCAAGCUUAAAGCCGGUGGUGCUCCAGGACUCCGGUCUGUUGGUACAGUGGAGGCUGCACAGAUAAUGAAUGUAAUCGCUGCACCUGUUAUCUUUGCAGCUGCCGUGGAAUCUUCGCUGGCGAGGCGACUGUUUCGUUAAGCGGCGGCUGCUGCUGUUGCUUCAGGAAAGGAACGUUGCGGCUGCUGCUGUUGCUGCAGGAACGAAACCUCGGUGACAGCGCAAGCAAGUUAUCGGUAUCACAUCUCCAGGGGAAGCAAGCGUAACGCUGGCGGUGCUCCAGGACUGCGGUCACUUGGCACAGUGGAGGCCGCACAGAUAAUCAAUGUAAUCGCUACACCUGCUAUUUUUGCAGCUGCAUUGGAACCUUCCCUGGCGAGGCGACUGCUUCGUCAAACGGCGGCUGCUGCUGUUGCUGCAGGAAAGGAACGUCGCUACCGUGAAAUGUUCCCUGGCGAGGCGACUGUUUGGUCAAGCGGCGGCUUUUGCUGUUGCUACUGGAAAGGAAUGUCGGUGACAGCGCACGCAAUUUACCGGCAUCACAUCGCCAGGGGAAGCAAGCUUAAAGCCGGCGGUGCUCCAGGGCUACGGUCACUUGGCACAGUCGAGACAGCACGGAUAACCAACGUAAUCGUUGCACCUGUCAUCGUUGCAGCUGCCGUGGAAUCUUCCCUGGCGAGGCGACUGUUUCGUCAAGCGGCGGCUGCUGCCGUUGCUGCAGGAAAAGAACGUCGGUGAAAACGCACGCAAUUCACCGGCAUUACAUCUGCUAGGGGAAUCAAGCUUAAAGGCAGCGGUGCUCCAGUAGUACGGUCACUUGGCACACUGGAGCCAGCACGGAUAUUGAACGUAAUCGCUGCAUCUGCUUUUUUGCAGCUGCCUUGGAAUCUUCCCUGGCGGCGCGACUGUUUCGUCAAGCGGCGGCUGCUGCUGUUGCUGCAGGAAAGUAACCUCGGUGACAACGCACGCCCUUUACCGGCAUCACAUCUGCCAGCGGAAGCAAGUUUAAGCUGGCUGUGCUCCAGGACUAUGGUCAAUUGGCACAGUAGAGGCAGCAAGGAUAAUCAACGUAAUCGCUGCACCGGCUAUCUUUGCUGCUGCCUUGAAUUCUUCUCUGGCGAGGUGACUGUUUCGUAAACCGGCGGCUGCUGCCAUUGCUGCAAGAAAGGAACGUCGGUAACAUCGCACGCGAUUUACCGGCAUCACAUCUGCCCGGGGAAGCAAGCUUAAAGCCGGCGGUGCUCCAGGACUACUGACAUUACAUCUGCCAGGGAAAGCAAGCUUAAAGCUGGGGAUACUCCAGGACUACGGCCUCUUGGUACAGUGGAGGCAGCACGGAUAACCAACGUAAACGCUCCACCUGCGUUCCUUGCAGCUGCCUUGGAAUCUUCCCUGGCGAGGCGACUGUUUCGUCAAGCGGUGGAUGCUGCUGUUGCUCCAGGAAAGGAACGUCGGUAACAUCGCAAGGACUUUACCGGCAUCACAUCUGCCAGAGAAAUCAUGCUUACAGCCGGCGGUGCUCCAGGACUACAGUCACUUGGCACAGUGGAGACAGCACGGAUAAUCAACGUAAUCGCUGCACAUGCUAUCUUUGCCGCUGCCAUGGAAUAUUACCGGAUGAGGCGACUGUUUCGUCAAACAGCGGCUGCUGCUGUUGCUGCAGGAAAGGAAUGUCGGUGAGAACGCACGCAAUUUACCGGCUUUACAUCUGCUAGGGGAAUCAAGCUUAAAGGCGGCGGUGCUCCCGGACUACCACACUUGGCACAGUGGGGCCAGCAUGGAUAUUCAACGCAAUGGCUGCACCUGCUACCUUUGCAGCUGCCGUGGAAUCUUCCCUGGUGAAGCGACUGUUUCGUCAAGCGAAGGCUGCUGCUGUUGCUGCAGGAAAGGAACGUCGGUGACAACGCACGCAAUUUCCGGCAUCAUCUGGCGACAUGUGCCAGGGGAAUCAAAGCCUGCGGUGCUCCAGGAAUACAGCCACUUGGCACAGUGGAGGCAGCACGGUAAUGAACGCAAUCGCUGCACCUGCUAUCUUUCCAGCUGCCGUGGAAUCUUCGCUAUCGAGAAGACUGUUUCGUCAAGCGGCGGCUGCUGCUGUUACUGCAGGAAAUGAACACCGGUGAGAACGCAAGCAAUUUACCGGUAUUGCAUCUGCCAGGGGAAGGAAACUUAAAGCCGGCGGUGUUCCAGGAAUACAGUCACUUGGCACAGUGGAGGCAGCACCGAUAAUGAACGUAAUCGCUGCAGCUGCUUUCUUUGCAGCUACCUUGGAAUGUUCCCUGGCGAGGCGACUGUUUCGUCAAUCGGCGGCUGCUGCUGCCGUUGCUGCAGGAAAGGAACGUCAGUGACAGCGGUAGCAAGUUAUCGCCAUCACAUCUGCCAGGGGAAGCAAGCUUAAAGCUGGGGAUACUCCAGGACUACGGCCUCUUGGUACAGUGGAGGCAGCACGGAUAACCAACGUAAACGCAGCACCUGCUAUCUUUGCAGCUGCCGUGGAAUCUUCCCUGGCGAGGCGACUGUUUCCUCAAGUGGCGGCUGCUAUUGUUGCUGCAGGAAAGGAACGUUGGUGACAGCACACGCAAGUUACGGGGAACACAUCUGUCAGGGAAAGCAAGCCAAAAGCCGGUGGUGCUCCAAGACUAAAAUUAAUUAAAUUAAAUGUGGGGUUUUACGUGCCAAAACCACUUUCUGAUUAUGAGGCACGCCGUAGUGGAGGACUCCGGAAAUUUCGACCACCUGGGGUUCUUUCACGUGCACCUAAAUCUAAGCACACGGGUGUUUUCGCAUUUCGCCCCCAUCGAAAUUCGGCCGUGCUCCAAGACUACUUUCAAUUGGCACAUUGGAGGCUGCACGGAUAAUCAACAUAAUCGCUGCACCUGCUAUCUUUGCAGCUGCCGUGGAAUCUUCCCGGGCGAGGCGACUGUUUGGUCAAGCGGCGGGUGCUGCUGUUGCAGCAGGAAAGGAACGUCGGUGACAGCGCACGCAAUAUACCGACAUCAUAUCUGCCAGGGGAAGCAAGCUUAGCACCUUCAGGCGCGAAUAA